rnacentral:rRNA from 1 species
GACGAACGCUGGCGGCGUGCUUAACACAUGCAAGUCGAACGGUGAAGGGACCGGUUUUUGCUGGUUCUGGAUGAGUGGCGAACGGGUGAGUAACACGUGAGCAACCUGCCCCCUUCUUCUGGAUAACCGCAUGAAAGUGUGGCUAAUACGGGAUAUUCUGCGCCUGCUGCAUGGUGGGUGUGGGAAAGAUAUUGUUUCGGUGGGGGAUGGGCUCGCGGCCUAUCAGCUUGUUGGUGGGGUGAUGGCCUACCAAGGCGGUGACGGGUAGCCGGCCUGAGAGGGUGGACGGUCACACUGGGACUGAGACACGGCCCAGACUCCUACGGGAGGCAGCAGUGGGGAAUAUUGCACAAUGGGCGCAAGCCUGAUGCAGCGACGCCGCGUGAGGGAUGGAGGCCUUCGGGUUGUAAACCUCUUUCGCCAGUGAAGCAGGCCUGUCCCUUUUGUGGGUGGGUUGACGGUAGCUGGAUAAGAAGCGCCGGCUAACUACGUG